GACGAACGCUGGCGGCGUGCUUAACACAUGCAAGUCGAACGGAGUGGAGAACGGGUGAGUAUUAUGUGAAUCCCCCGCCCCCUACUGUGGGAUACGCCUGAGAAACUGGGUCUUAUACCGUAUUGUUGGGGAUGGGCUCGCGGCCUAUCAGCUUGUUGGUGGGGUGAUGGCCUACCAAGGCGGUGACGGGUAGCCGGCCUGAGAGGGUGGUCGGCCACAUUGGGACUGGGGAUCGGGCCAGACUCCUACGGGAGGCAGCAGUGGGGGAUAUUGCACAAUGGGCGAAAGCCUGAUGCAGCGACGCCGCGUGAGGGAUGAAGGCUUUCGGGUUGUAAACCUCUUUCGGUAUAGAACGGGUAGGUGGAGAAGAAGCGCCGGCUAACUACGUGCCAGCAGCCGCGGUAAUAC
rnacentral:rRNA from 1 species